rnacentral:rRNA from 1 species
AUAGCGGCUGACGAAGCUGCUUUGAAUGUGUCCCUGUCCUUUGUACACACCGCCCGUCGCUAUCUAAGAUGACGCACUGGACGAAGAUCGGAAGGUCUGAGUCCUGAGUGUUAGAUAAGAUAUAAGUCGUAACAUGGCUGCUGUUGGAGAACCAGCAGCAGGAUCAGUA